GCUUAAAAUCUAGCCCAUUAAAUUUCGUAUGAAAUUACCUACUUUACAUUACUAAUCAAAACAUUUUAACAUUUUAGUAAAGGAGAUUAAAAAACUAACUGAAGCAAUAAAAAUAGUACCGCAAGGGAAAGAUGAAAUAAAAAUGAAAUAAAUCUAAAGCCCUAAAAAGUAGAGAUAUACCCUCGUACCUUUUGCAUCAUGGUUUAACUAGUCUAAUCAAGCAUAAAGCAUUAAAGUUUGACCCCCCGAAACUAAGCGAGCUACUUCAGGGCAGCUUUACGAGCAAACCCGUCUCUGUUGCAAAAGAGUGGGAUGACCCCCAAGUAGCGGCGACAAACCUAACGAGCUUAGUGAUAGCUGGUUACUCAAGAAAAGGAUUUUAGUCCAACCUAAAGCUUUCCUUAUUUAUAAAAAUUUUCAUUAGGCUUUAGAGCAAUUCAAAUAAGGUACAGCCUAUUUGAAACAGGAUACAACCUCAACUGACGGGUAAAUUGAUAUUAUUAAAAAUCAAGUGGGCCUAAAAGCAGCCACCUUUAAAAAAGCGUCAAAGCUUAAUUAAUUAAUUAAAUUAAUACCUCUAACCUCCUCUAACCCUCUACUAAUAUUGAGUUAUUCUAUAUAAAUAUAGAACCAACUAUGUUAAAACUAGUAACAAGAAGCUUAACCUUCUCUUAGAUGCAUGCAUAAAUCAGAAAGGACAAGCCGCUGAUAAUUAACGCCUAUGAACCAGCAUUAGUAACUCCUCAAGAAAACACUAAUUAUUUAUUGCGUUAACCUGACACAAGAGCACCUCAAGAAAGAUCAAAAGAAAAAGAAGGAACUCGGCAAAUUUUAACCCCGCCUGUUUACCAAAAACAUCGCCUCUUGCAUGAAAAUAAGAGGUCUAGCCUGCCCAGUGACCACAGUUCAACGGCCGCGGUAUCCUAACCGUGCAAAGGUAGCGUAA
rnacentral:rRNA from 1 species